GUUGUUGCGGUUAGAAGCUCGUAGUUGGAUUUCUGUUGAGGUCGGGCGGUGUACACCUCGUGUAUUAUUUGCUUCGGUCUCGGCAUCCUCUUGGGGAACGUUCAGGACUUUAUUGGACUGGGCGAGAUUCAAGGCUUUUACUUUGAGGAAAUUAGAGUGUUCACGGCAGGCAAGUGCUUUGAAUACAUUAGCAUGGAAUAAUAAUAUAGGACCUUCGUUCUAUUUUGUUGGUUUCUAGAACUUAGGUAAUGAUUAAUAGGGACAAUUGGGGGCAUUCGUAUUAACGCGUCAGAGGUGGAAUUCUUGGAUUGCGUUACGACGAACUACUGCGAAAACAUUUGCCAAAGAUGUUUUCAUUGAUCAAGAACGAAAGUAUGGGGAUCGAGGACGCUUASAUACCGUCSUAGUCUAUACCAUAAACUAUGCCAACUAGAGAUCGGAGGGGUAUCCUAUGUGGCUCCUUCGGCAUCUUAUGAGAAAUCAAAGUUUUUGGGUUCCKGGGGGAGUAUGGGUCGCAAGGCUGAAACUUAAAGGAAUUGACGGAAGGGCACCACCCGGAGUGGAGCCUGCGGCUUAAUUUGACUCAACCCGGGAAAACUCAC
rnacentral:rRNA from 1 species